CGCCCGAUCUCGUCUGAUCUCGGAAG
ensembl:rRNA 5S_rRNA 5S ribosomal RNA